AUUGAACGCUGGCGGAAUGCUUUACACAUGCAAGUCGAACGGCAGCACGGACUUCGGUCUGGUGGCGAGUGGCGAACGGGUGAGUAAUGUAUCGGACCGUGCCCAGACGUGGGGGAUAACGUAGUGAACUUUACGCUAAUACCGCAUACGAUCUCUGGAUGAAGGCGGGGGAUCGCCAGACCUCGCGCCAUUGGACCGGCCGUUAUCAGAUUAGGUAGUUGGUGGGGUAAAGGCCCACCAAGCCAACGAUCUGUAGCUGGUCUGAGAGGACGACCAGCCACACUGGAACUGAGACACGGUCCAGACUCCUACGGGAGGCAGCAGUGGGGAAUUUUGGACAAUGGGCGAAAGCCUGAUCCAGCCAUUCCGCGUGCAGGAUGAAGGCCCUCGGGUUGUAAACUGCUUUUGUACAGAACGAAAAGGUUUCUACUAAUACUAGGAGCUCAUGACGGUACUGUAAGAAUAAGCACCGGCUAACUACGUGCCAGCAGCCGCCGUAA
rnacentral:rRNA from 1 species